AGUUGCGCCCGAAGCCUUCGGGCCGAGGGCACGUCUGCCUGGGUGUCACGCACAGUCGCCCCUGCCGCACCGUCUCCUCGGUGAAGGGUUGGGGCCGGAUGUUGGUCUCCCGCGAGCCGCGACUCGCGGAUGGCUUAAAAUCGGAGUCCGUGACGCCGGACAUCGCGUCGCAUGGUGGGUGAGGAAAUCUCGAGACCCGUCGCGGGUGUCGUCACGGUUCGGCACAACCUCGGAGCGCUGUUGGCAGCGCCUUUCGACGCGACCCCAGGUCGGGCGGGACUACCCGCUGAGUUUAAGCAUAUCAAUAAGCGGAGGAAAAGAAACUUACGAGGAUUCCCUUAGUAACGGCGAGCGAACCGGGAAGAGCCC
rnacentral:rRNA from 1 species